rnacentral:rRNA from 1 species
GACGAACGCUGGCGGCGUGCUUAACACAUGCAAGUCGAACGGAAAGGCCCUGCUUGCAGGGUACUCGAGUGGCGAACGGGUGAGUAACACGUGGGUGAUCUGCCCUGCACUUCGGGAUAAGCCUGGGAAACUGGGUCUAAUACCGGAUAGGAGCCAUUUUUAGUGUGAUGGUUGGAAAGUUUUUUCGGUGUAGGAUGAGCUCGCGGCCUAUCAGCUUGUUGGUGGGGUAAUGGCCUACCAAGGCGGCGACGGGUAGCCGGCCUGAGAGGGUGGACGGCCACAUUGGGACUGAGAUACGGCCCAGGCUCCUACGGGAGGCAGCAGUGGGGAAGAUUGCACAAUGGGCGCAAGCCUGAUGCAGCGACGCCGCGUGGGGGAUGACGGCCUUCGGGUUGUAAACUCCUUUCGCUAGGGACGAAGCUUUUUGUGACGGUACCUAGAUAAGAAGCACCGGCUAACUACGUG